rnacentral:rRNA from 1 species
UACGGGGGGAGCAAGCGUUGUUUGGAUUUACUGGGCGUAAAGGGCGCGUAGGCGGUCGUGACAAGUCACUUGUGAAAUCUCCGGGCUUAACUCGGAACGGUCAAGUGAUACUGUCGGACUAGAGUACAGAAGGGGCAACUGGAAUUCUCGGUGUAGCGGUGAAAUGCGUAGAUAUCGAGAGGAACACCUGCGGCGAAGGCGGGUUGCUGGGCUGAUACUGACGCUGAGGCGCGGAAAGCCAGGGGAGCGAACGGG